rnacentral:rRNA from 1 species
AACGAACGCUGGCGGCAUGCCUAACACAUGCAAGUCGAACGAGACCUUCGGGUCUAGUGGCGCACGGGUGCGUAACGCGUGGGAACCUGCCCUUAGGUUCGGAAUAACUCCCCGAAAGGGGUGCUAAUACCGGAUAAUGUCUUCGGACCAAAGAUUUAUCGCCUUUGGAUGGGCCCGCGUUGGAUUAGCUAGUUGGUAGGGUAAAAGCCUACCAAGGCGACGAUCCAUAGCUGGUCUGAGAGGAUGAUCAGCCACACUGGGACUGAGACACGGCCCAGACUCCUACUGGAGGCAGCAGUGGGGAAUAUUGGACAAUGGGCGAAAGCCUGAUCCAGCAAUGCCGCGUGAGUGAUGAAGGCCUUAGGGUUGUAAAGCUCUUUUACCCGGGAUGAUAAUGACAGUACCGGGAGAAUAAGCUCCGGCUAACUCCGCG